rnacentral:tRNA from 1 species
AGCGGCGUGGCUCGGGGGGAAGAGGCCGGGCUCGGGAGCCGGAGGGCACGGGUUCGAAUCCCGCCUCUGCCA